GAGCCUAGGGCCUCCACUUCAAGGCCCAGACAAAGACACGUGGUUGGAGCAGACAAUGUGAGGGCUCUAUAUAAGAGAACUCUGGAGCUCGACAUCGAGUACAAGAGGCUUUUAAUUAAAAAAACAAGGCUGGAGAUCGAAAAACUUGAAUAUGAGAAGAAGGAAAGACAGAACACAUGAAGAUGUAAUUACUUUUUUCUACGUUUUGGUGUUGUUCCAAUUUUUUUGUGG